CUUCCCAGCGGAAGGCUGCAAGGGCGGUGCGGCUCCUACCCCAGGCGGUCUCGGUUGCCCGCAGACCAGCCAAGCGCUGGGCGAGCUAAAACAAUGGUUCUCAAAAUGUUGCAGGUUAGCGUCACUAGGGGCAGCCUUUACAGAUCUGAAAGCCGAGGACGUACCCUAAAUCAGUGAAAUCGACACCCGAGAGGAGCAGCGGUACCAGGAUAUCAACCCACUGCAUGGUUUGUGGGUGUUGGGGUCGCCAAGAAAGAUGUGACUCACACAGAAAGGCACUGGACGGAACAAUGCUUUACUCACACAGAGAAGACAGAGAAUAAGAUCAGCUUCAAUAUUCACCCCUGGGAGCUGCCUGGCAAACUGGCCCUGCAGACCUGGAAACUGGAGGGAUUGUGGUUUGGGGGGAAACCAAGGGAAUGCCGCCCCCAGCAGAAUGUCGACAAGACCUGCACAGCGCCAAAGACACAACAUAAACGGUUUAACUUUCUCAUUCCAGAAGCAGGACUUAGUCACGCUUGACAGUUUCCAGCUUUCUACCUACCCCCAGUUUCUCAGUGCGGUCGAUCCACAUAUCUGCCUUAUGCAACUGCUUCCUGGUGACCACCUCCCUAUGGGGCAGCUAGAUACAACAGACUGACCCACCCCACUGACCCCCACACCCCUCAUAGACUGCACAGAUGUGCCACAGUGAUCACUUCUCAGGCACAGCAUGACUCCACCAACUCAUGCCUUGGCCCACCAACUAGAACUCUCUGAAGGAAACCUGCUUGGGUAGCACCCUGAACCCCAGCAAAGGCCUGGGUUCAUAGGUUCAUGUCCCUCCAGCUCUCCACCUGCUGGCUGAGCAUAUUGGCCCUGUGACCUUCCCACUAGCCCUCAGUGGAACCUCUCUUCUCUCAUGCUGUGAAUAAUAAACUGCUUCUGUUUUCUCGUG